UGGCGGCGUGCCUAAACAUGCAAGUCGAACGAGAAAGUGGAGCAAUCCAUGAGUACAGUGGCGUACGGGUGAGUAACACGUGACUAACCUACCCUCGAGUGGGGAAUAACUUCGGGAAACCGAGGCUAAUACCGCAUAAUGUCUACGGACCAAAUGCGUAAGCAGCUUGAGGAGGGGGUCGCGGCUGAUUAGCUUGUUGGCGGGGUAACGGCCCACCAAGGCAAUGAUCAGUAGCCGGCCUGAGAGGGCGCACGGCCACACUGGAACUGAAACACGGUCCAGACUCCUACGGGAGGCAGCAGUGGGGAAUUUUGCGCAAUGGGGGAAACCCUGACGCAGCAACGCCGCGUGGAGGAUGAAGCCCCUUGGGGUGUAAACUCCUUUCGAUCGGGACGAUUAUGACGGUACCGGAUGAAGAAGCACCGGCUAACUCUGUGCCAGCAGCCGCGGUAAUACAGAGGGUGCAAGCGUUGUUCGGAAUUAUUGGGCGUAAAGGGUGCGUANGCGGUGCGGUAAGUCUUCUGUGAAACCUCCGGGCUUAACUCG
rnacentral:rRNA from 1 species